UACGUAGGGGGCAAGCGUUAUCCGGAUUUACUGGGUGUAAAGGGAGCGUAGGCGGCGGAGCAAGUCAGAAGUGAAAGCCCGGGGCUCAACCCUGGGACGGCUUUUGAAACUGCCCUGCUUGAUUUCAGGAGAGGUAAGCGGAAUUCCUAGUGUAGCGGUGAAAUGCGUAGAUAUUAGGAGGAACACCAGUGGCGAAGGCGGCUUACUGGACUGACAAUGACGCUGAGGCUCGAAAGCGUGGGGAGCAAACAGG
rnacentral:rRNA from 1 species